AGAGUUUGAUCCUGGCUCAGAGCGAACGCUGGCGGCAGGCUUAACACAUGCAAGUCGAGCGGGCGUAGCAAUACGUCAGCGGCAGACGGGUGAGUAACGCGUGGGAACGUACCUUUUGGUUCGGAACAACACAGGGAAACUUGUGCUAAUACCGGAUAAGCCCUUACGGGGAAAGAUUUAUCGCCGAAAGAUCGGCCCGCGUCUGAUUAGCUAGUUGGUAGGGUAAUGGCCUACCAAGGCGACGAUCAGUAGCUGGUCUGAGAGGAUGAUCAGCCACAUUGGGACUGAGACACGGCCCAAACUCCUACGGGAGGCAGCAGUGGGGAAUAUUGGACAAUGGGCGCAAGCCUGAUCCAGCCAUGCCGCGUGAGUGAUGAAGGCCCUAGGGUUGUAAAGCUCUUUUGUGCGGGAAGAUAAUGACGGUACCGCAAGAAUAAGCCCCGGCUAACUUCGUGCCAGCAGCCGCGGUAAUACGAAGGGGGCUAGCGUUGCUCGGAAUCACUGGGCGUAAAGGGUGCGUAGGCGGGUCUUUAAGUCAGGGGUGAAAUCCUGGAGCUCAACUCCAGAACUGCCUUUGAUACUGAAGAUCUUGAGUUCGGGAGAGGUGAGUGGAACUGCGAGUGUAGAGGUGAAAUUCGUAGAUAUUCGCAAGAACACCAGUGGCGAAGGCGGCUCACUGGCCCGAUACUGACGCUGAGGCACGAAAGCGUGGGGAGCAAACAGGAUUAGAUACCCUAGUAGUCC
rnacentral:rRNA from 1 species